UUGGCAUUCUAUAUACUCAAUCUGAAACUUUACAACACUUCUUAUAAAUAAGCAUUAUUUUCCUCUUUGAGCCUCAGCUAACUUAAAGGUCCAAAGUAACACAAUCAAGUUAUAAUACUGACAUCUAUCUCCAUGGGAGGUGUUGACAUUUUGCUGAAACCUUCCAAGACGGGAACUCCUGCUGUGGAUAGGAGAUGCCAUUUCAUUGAAAAUGAGAAAUCAGAAGUCAAAUAUACUCUGAUCUUUCAAUUGAGAAGACUGGUCCAAUGUCACUUGAUUGAGGACAAAGUCUUGGAUAACCCACUGGUGUUAAUGUUUAAAUGAAAGCAGUACUUUCAUUUCCUCAUUUCUGUGAAGGUUAAUAUAAUUUUACAUCAAUAUAGUUUUAUACCUUAAUAGUAAAUUUUCAAUUAAUUUUUUUGAGAGGGAGGGGGGAAGAGAGAGAGAGAAAGAGAGAGAGAGAAUGAGC
rnacentral:lncRNA from 1 species